ACCUUCGUGAUAUAGUGGUCAAUACGCUGGACGCGUAUUCCAGAGAUCCGUGGUUCGAGUCCUGGCGAAGGCG
rnacentral:tRNA from 1 species